rnacentral:tRNA from 1 species
AGAGAGAUGGCUCAGUAGUUAAGAGCACUGACUGAUAUUCCAGAGGACGUGGGUUCAAUUCCCAGGCCAUCUG